AUCUUAUCAAAAUGCUUGUUCCAACUCUAAGAGUAUUGCCAUAGAAGAAAAUAUCUUGUCAUAGUCAAUACUAUAACAUCGACAAUAUUCCUUGGUAACCAAAUAGACUUUAUAGAUUUUCACCUUUCCGUCUGUGCCUCUUUUUUUUUUGAAAAUCUAUCUACACCUUAUGAAUUUUAUCCCUUCGAGUGGAUCAACUAGUAUUCAUACACCAAUGAUCUCCAUAGACUCCAUCUCAAAUUUCAUGACAUCAAGUCACUUGUC
rnacentral:lncRNA from 1 species